GACGGAGGAUGCAAGUGUUAUCCGGAAUCACUGGGCGUAAAGCGUCUGUAGGUGGUCGAAUAAGUCAACUGUUAAAUCUUGAGGCUCAACCUCAAAAUCGCAGUCGAAACUAUUCGACUAGAGUAUAGUAGGGGUAAAGGGAAUUUCCAGUGGAGCGGUGAAAUGCGUAGAGAUUGGAAAGAACACCGAUGGCGAAGGCACUUUACUGGGCUAUUACUAACACUGAGAGACGAAAGCUAGGGUAGCAAAUGGG
rnacentral:rRNA from 1 species